rnacentral:tRNA from 1 species
AAGGAAAUGGCAGAUAGGUUAUGCAUCUGGCUUGAAACCAGCGUAGGGGGGUUCGAAUCCUUCUUUUCUUG